UUUUGUGUCUUGAUGAGUUGGUGCAAACUAAUAUGUGUGUAUAUAUAUAUAUAUAGUGUUGCCAGCACAGGAGAACAAAGAGGACACCAAUGAUGAAAAUCUUAACCAAUGUCCAAGGAAAAGAAAGAGAGACAGUAUUGGUUACGACUGUCCGUCAUUUUCUCUUUUAACUCCUAAUCCUACAAGUACCCAAAUGGACGUUGAUGCUGCUGUGACUAUGGAGGUCGAAUAAAAUGUUGAGGAAGAACUUGGUAGAGGGAAAAGGAACAAAAAACUUAGCUGGUCGUUGAAAUCUCCCUCUGAUAAGGAGAGAAAAGUAGUAAGUUCCAAGGCGGACAAUCAAAAUACACCGAAGAGUGCAGGUUGGGUAAAAGCAACAUACACUCGUAGGUGUAUUUUUCAUUAUACCUCUGAAGAUGAAAAAUUGAUGAGAAAUUCAAUGUGUGGUUUGACUUGUAAGUGUAUUUUUUAUUAUACCUCUGAAGAUUAAAAAUUGAUGAAGAAAUUCACUGUGUGGUUGGGC
rnacentral:lncRNA from 1 species